rnacentral:rRNA from 1 species
AGUAAUGUAUGGGGAUCUGCCCGAUAGAGGGGAAUAACUACUGGAAACGGUGGCUAAUACCGCAUAAUGUCUACGGACCAAAGCAGGGGCUCUUCGGACCUUGCACUAUCGGAUGAACCCAUAUGGGAUUAGCUAGUAGGUGGGGUAAAGGCUCACCUAGGCGACGAUCUCUAGCUGGUCUGAGAGGAUGAUUAGCCACACUGGGACUGAGACACGGCCCAG